GACGAACGUUGGCGGCGUGCUUAACACAUGCAAGUCGAACGGUGAUGGAGAGUUUGCUCUCCGGAUCAGUGGCGAACGGGUGAGUAACACGUGAGUAACCUGCCACUGACUCUGGGAUAAGCGUUGGAAACGACGUCUAAUACCGGAUAUGACUUAUGGACGCAUGUUCUGUGGGUGGAAAGAUUUUUCGGUUGGGGAUGGACUCGCGGCCUAUCAGCUUGUUGGUGAGGUAAUGGCUCACCAAGGCGACGACGGGUAGCCGGCCUGAGAGGGUGACCGGCCACACUGGGACUGAGACACGGCCCAGACUCCUACGGGAGGCAGCAGUGGGGAAUAUUGCACAAUGGGCGCAAGCCUGAUGCAGCAACGCCGCGUGAGGGACAACGGCCUUCGGGUUGUAAACCUCUUUUGGCAGGGAAGAAGCGAAAGUGACAGUACCUGCAGAAAAAGCACCGGCUAACUACAUGCCAGCAGCCGCGGUAAUACGUAUGGUGCAAGCGUUGUCCGGAAUUAUUGGGCGUAAAAAGCUCGUAGGCGGUUUGUCGCGUCUGCUGUGAAAACGCGAGGCUCAACCUCGCGCCUGCAGUGGGUACGGGCAGACUAGAGUGCGGUAGGGGAGAUUGGAAUUCCUGGUGUAGCGGUGGAAUGCGCAGAUAUCAGGAGGAACACCGAUGGCGAAGGCAGAUCUCUGGGCCGUUACUGACGCUGAGGAGCGAAAGCGUGGGGAGCGAACAGGAUUAGAUACCCUGGUAGUCCACGCCGUAAACGUUGGGAACUAGAUGUGGGGUCCAUUCCACGGAUUCCGUGUCGCAGCUAACGCAUUAAGUUCCCCGCCUGGGGAGUACGGCCGCAAGGCUAAAACUCAAAGGAAUUGACGGGGGCCCGCACAAGCGGCGGAGCAUGCGGAUUAAUUCGAUGCAACGCGAAGAACCUUACCAAGGCUUGACAUGCACCUGAAAAGGCUGGAAACAGUCUCCUCGCAAGACAGGUGCACAGGUGGUGCAUGGUUGUCGUCAGCUCGUGUCGUGAGAUGUUGGGUUAAGUCCCGCAACGAGCGCAACCCUCGUUCUAUGUUGCCAGCGCGUUAUGGCGGGAACUCAUAGGAGACUGCCGGGGUCAACUCGGAGGGAGGUGGGGAUGACGUCAAAUCAUCAUGCCCCUUAUGUCUUGGGCUUCACGCAUGCUACAAUGGCCGGUACAAAGGGCUGCGAUACCGCAAGGUGGAGCGAAUCCCAAAAAGCCGGUCUCAGUUCGGAUUGAGGUCUGCAACUCGACCUCAUGAAGUCGGAGUCGCUAGUAAUCGCAGAUCAGCAACGCUGUGGUGAAUACGUUCCCGGGCCU
rnacentral:rRNA from 1 species